rnacentral:lncRNA from 1 species
AGCCUCAUGUUCUUACCUUACCGUAUGGUCGAAAUCUUAAAUCAUUGCCAUCUUAUCUUUUCUAGUACAAUUGAUGGCCACUUGAUCUGUUUCAUUCUUAUGUAUGUACAUACAUGCGUGCGUGUGUAUAUGUACAUAUGUAUGUAUACAUGUAUGUAUGUUAGGGGAGUGGGUUUGGUUGGUUGAAAUAAAUACAAAAUUGUUGUCAGUAGAGGUCAAAUUUAUGCCAAGUAGGGUUAGAACAUGUCUAAUGCACAGUGUUAUACGCAGGAAUUUACUGGAGGAAGAAGUGGGGACCUUUUAUGGUCUUGAGAAG